rnacentral:tRNA from 1 species
GCAGCAGUAGCUCAGAGAAAGAGCACCGGUCUUGUAAACCGGCCGCCGGAGGUUAAAUUCCACCCUGCCGCU